rnacentral:rRNA from 1 species
CCUACGGGAUGCAGCAGUGGGGAAUAUUGCACAAUGGGCGCAAGCCUGAUGCAGCCAUGCCGCGUGUAUGAAGAAGGCCUUAGGGUUGUAAAGUACUUUCAGUUGGGAGGAAGGCGUUGAUGCUAAUAUCAUCAACGAUUGACGUUACCAACAGAAGAAGCACCGGCUAACUCCGUGCCAGCAGCCGCGGUAAUACGGAGGGUGCAAGCGUUAAUCGGAAUUACUGGGCGUAAAGCGCACGCAGGCGGUUGAUUAAGUUAGAUGUGAAAUCCCCGGGCUUAACCUGGGAACUGCAUUCGAAACUGGCAGGCUAGAGUCUUGUAGAGGGGGGUAGAAUUCCAGGUGUAGCGGUGAAAUGCGUAGAGAUCUGGAGGAAUACCGGUGGCGAAGGCGGCCCCCUGGACAAAGACUGACGCUCAGGUGCGAAAGCGUGGGGAGCAAACAGGAUUAGAUACCCCUGUAGUC